GUCCUUUUGAUUUUUAUAUAAGGUCUGACCUGCCCUAUGAAUAUUUAAAUGGCCGCGGUAUACUAACCGUGCAAAGGUAGCAUAGUCAUUUGUCUCUUAAUUGGAGGCUUGAAUGAAGGGUUGGACGAGAUAUAAGCUUUCUUUGUUAUAUUUUAUUGAAUUUGACUUUUGAGUUAAAAGGCUUAAAUUUUUUUAUAGGACGAGAAGACCCUAUAGAAUUUUAUAUGUUUGUAUAAUUAAUUUAUUUAUUUAUUAUUUAAUUUCUUGUUUAAAUAUAUUUUGUUGGGGCGAUGGGAAGAUUUUAAUAACUCUUUUUUGUUUUGAUCAUUGAUUUAUGUUUUAUUCUGAUCCUUUUUUAGAGAUUAUAAGAUUAAAUUACCUUAGGGAUAACAGCGUAAUUCUUUUGGAGAGUUCUUAUCGAUAAAAGAGUUUGCGA
rnacentral:rRNA from 1 species